AGCGAACGCUGGCGGCAGGCCUAAAACAUGCAAGUCGAACGGAUCCUUCGGGAUUAGUGGCGGACGGGUGAGUAACACGUGGAACGUGCCUUUGGUUCGGAACAACUCAGGGAAACUUGAGCUAAUACCGAAUGUGCCCUUGGGGAAAGAUUAUCGCCAUUAGAGCGGCCCGCGUCUGAUUAGCUUGUGUGAGGUAAAGGCUCACCAAGGCGACGAUCAGUAGCUGGUCUGAGAGGAUGAUCAGCCACACUGGGACUGAGACACGGCCCAGACUCCUACGGGAGCAGCAGUU
rnacentral:rRNA from 1 species